GGCAGACGCUUAACGACUGAGCCAUCCAGGCGCCUCCCCAUCUCUCUUUUUAUAGAGAAACUAACAAGGCUGAAAAGUGAUGAAAAGAGCUUAGUUUAGGGGACCAGAAGAAAGGUCUCUAAAAGUUAGUGAAAUAAACCCAGAGGGCAACCCAAGUUUUAAAUUAAGCGAGGAGGGUUACCUGACUUACAAUUUCAUUUUAAUAAUAUUUUAGAUAUUUUAAAAUCUAUUUUUAAUCUAGUCAUAAUACCAAAGGUAUAUUCCGUCUGUUUUACAUUUUUUGCCAUCCAAAGCUAACAGUGUAUUAGUAAUAAUUGACCACAGACAUAAGGAAUGGGAAUUUGACCCCAGAUUCAAGAAUAGAGUUUACAAAUUUACAGAUUUGUAAGGCUUUUUAAAGUACCACUGUAGUGAUCCAAGGUGUAGUUUGUGGGAUUCUUUAAAAGUUUUUGCAGCUAUUAAAAAAGGAAACAUUUUGUGUGUACAUGGAUGGGGGAGAGGGAGAUCUGCAAGAUAUAUAGGAUAUAUAGAUAACGUAAGUGCAGAACAGGGCAUACUAUGCUAUCAUUUUGUAUUACACACACUUAAACAUACAUAUAUACGCAGACAUUUAAUUUCUUGAUUGCUUUUAUUUUUUUAUUUUAUUUAUUUAUUUUAAAGAUUUUAUUUAUCUAUUUGACAGAAACACAGUGCGGGGCUCGAUCCUAGGACCCUAGGAUCAUAACCUGAGCCGAAGGCAGAUGCUUAACGACUGAGCCACACAGGCGCCCCUCUUGAUUGUUUCUAGAUGACUUUGGAAGGAGAGAUAGGUUUCUUCCAGGAAGGGAACUAGUGACUGGGGAAUAAGAGUGAAAGGGAGAUUUACAUUUCAUUGUAUACCCUUGUGUGCCUUUUGAAUUUUGUGCCUUAUGCGUGUAUUCCAUAUUCAGAAAUAAUAUUUAAAUAUUUUUUAGAAAAUGCAGUGAUCUAAAAGAAUAACUAUUACAUUUUUAAAUUAUUUUACUGGGUAAGAUUGGAUUUUAUAGUUUUUCUAGCACCUUUCAGACAUUAAAUAGAAAUGUGCCAUAUAAUAUAUGCAGUUAUUUUUUUUCCUUAAGAGCUAUUUUUAUUAGGCGUUUGUUUUUAAAAAAUCGGAUAAGAUAUAGUUUAUCUAUAAUAAAAUCCAUCCCUGUUGAGAUCAUAAGUUUGAUGAGUUUUAGCAAUUUUAUGUGGUUGUGCAACUAUCACCCAUUCAAGAUCUAGAGCAUUUCCAUCAGCCCAUAAGUUCCCUCUUGUACUUUUGCAGUCUUCUUUCCUCAUCCUGGUCCUGCGCCACCACUGCUCUGCAUUCUGUUACUAUGGUUACACUUUUUUUAGAUUUUCAUAUUAACGAAGUCAUAGUAUGUAGUCUUUUGUCCUGCCAUCUUUCACAUACCUCAGUGUUUUGUGUUUUUGUUUUUAAUUCAUCCAUGCUGUUAGGUAUGUCAGUAGUUCCUUUUUGUUGCUGAGUACUGUUCCAUUGUAUGGAUACACUAUACUUUGUUUAUUCAGUCAUCAGUUGAUUGAUAUUAGAGUUUUUUCUAAUUUGGGGGCAUUAUGAAUAGAGUUGCUAUGAACAUUCUCAUUCACAUCUUGAUUGUAGAUACAUGUUUUCAUUCCCUUGGGAUAAAUAUUUAGGAGGAAGAUGGCCAUAUCCUUGCCAACACUUGGUAUUUCUAAUCUUUUUAAUUUAACUGUUCUGGUUGGUGUGUAGUAAUAUCUCCUUGUGGUUUUAAUUUGCAUUUUCCUAAUGACUAAUGAGAUUGGUUAUCUGUCCAUGGGCUUAAUUGCUAUUCACAUAUUUUCUUUAAGUUCUGUACAGAUUGAGGUAUAAAAGUUCUUAAACAUCUUAGAUACAAGUUCUUAUCAAAUAUAAAAUGCAGAUAUUUUCUUCCAGUCUGUGGUUUCUUUUCAUCCUCUCUCUUUUUAAUCUAAAUAAUAGUCUAAAUAAUCGUCAUUUUAAAGGCUACUGCAUUCAGUCAUCUUGAAGCAUAAAGUUUACAACCAGUUUAUUUUGGUCUUUUAUGUUGCUUCUAAUUUUUUUCCAGUUUUAUGGAGAUAUAAUUGAUAUAUAAAUUUGUAUUAGUUUAAGGUAUACAAAAUAAUGAUUUGAUAUGUGUAUAUUUAGCAGAAUAAUUACAAUAAAUGUAGUUAACAUAAUAUCACCUCCCACAGUUAAUUUUUUUCUUGUGAUGAGAACUUCCAAGGUCUACUCUCUUAGCAGCUGUCAAAUAUACAGUAAAGAAUUGUUAACUAUACACACCAUGCUGUACAUUACAUUGCCAGAACUUAUUUAUCUUAUAACUGGAAGUUUGUACCCUUUGACUACCUUCACUCAUUUUCCCCAUUCCUGCCCUCUGCCUCUGGUAACCAUCAAUCUGUUCUCUGUCUCUGUGAGUUAAAGUUAUAUGAGAUUCCACAUGCAAGUGAGAUCAUACAGUAGUUGUAUUGCUCUGCUUGACUUACUUCACUUAAUAGUGCUUUCAAGGUCCAUCCAUGCUGUCGCAAAUGGUAGGAUUUCCUUCUCUUUGUGGCUGAAUAAUAUUCUAUAUGUGGUAUGUAUACCACAAUAUCUUUAUUCAUUCAUCCUUGGAUGGACAUUUGGUUGUUUCCGUGUCUUGGCUAUUGUAAAUAAUGAUGCAUUGACAUGGAGUACAGGUAUCUAUUAGAGGUAGUGAUUUCAUUUUCUUCAGAUAUAUACCCAGAAAUGGCAUUGCUUGAUCAUAUGGUAGUUCUCUUUUUAAUUUUUUGAGGAACGUCCAUACUCUUUUCUUUCUUUCUUUUUUUUUCCUCAUCCGUACUGUUUUCUAUAGUGGCUGCACAAAUUUAGAUUCCCACCAGUGCACAAGGGUUCCCUUUCUUCCACAUUCUCACCAACACUUCUUAUCUCUUGUCCUAUUGAUGUUAGCCAUUCUGACAGCCAGGAGGUGAUACCUCCUUGUGGUUUUAAUUUGCAUUUUCCUGAUGAUUAGUGAUAUUGAGGACCUUUUCAUGUGCCUGUUGGCUACUUGUAUGUCUUCUUUGGGGGAAUGUCUAUUCAGUUCUUCUGCCCAUUUUUAAAUUGGAUUGUUGGGGCACCUGGGUGGCUCAGUCGUUGGGCGACUGCCUUCGGCUCAGGUCAUGAUCCCAGGGUCCUGGGAUUGAGCCCUGCGUUGGGCUCCCUCCUCAGCAGGAGGCCUGCUUCUCCCUCUCCCACUUCCCCUGCUUGUGUUCCUACUCUCGCUGUGUCUCUGUCAAAUAAAUAAAAUCUUUAAAAAUAAAUAAAUAGGAUUGUUUGUUGUUUUUGCCACUGAGUUAUAGUUCUUUAUAUAUUUUGGGUAUUAAACCCUUAUCAGAUACAUGAUUGGCAAAUACGUUUUCCACCUUCUGUGGUUGUGUUUUGAUUUUUGUCAGUGGUUUCCUUGGCUGAGAAGAAGCUUUAUAGUUUGAUGUAGUCCCCCUUGCUUAUUUUUGCUUUUGUUGCCUUUCCUUUUAGUGUCAAAUCCAAAGAAUCAUUGCCAAGAAUGAUAUCAAGGAAUUUAUCCCUUAUGUUUUCUUCUAAGAUUUUUGUGGUUGCAGGUCCUACAUUCAAGUCUUAAGUGCAUUUUGAGUUGAUUUUUGUGUAUGGUGUAAAAGAGGGGUCCACUUUCAUUCUUUUGCAUUUGGCUGUCCCAGUUCUCCCAGCACCAUUUAUAGAAAAGACUAUCCUUUCCAUUGUAUAUUCUUGAUUUCUUUGUCAUAAGUUCAUUGGCCAUAUAUGCAUAGGUUUAUUUCUAGGCUCUCUGUUCUGUUCCAUUGAUUUAUAUGUCCAUUCUUGUGCCAAUACCAUACUGUUUUGAUUACUAUAGCUUUGAAGUAUAGUUUGAAAUCAAGAAAUGUAAAUGCCUCCAGCUUUGUUCUUCUUUCUCAAGAUUGCUUUGGCUAUUCAGGUUCUUUUGUGGUUUUGUAUAAAUUUUAAGAUUGUUUUUUCUAUUUCUGUGAAAAAUGCCAUUGGAAAAUAGGGAUUGCAUUGAAUCUGUAGAUUAUUUUGGGUAGUAGGGACAUUUUAAUAAUAUUCUUCCAGUCCAUGAACAUAAUAUUUUUCCAUUUAUUUGGGUCUUCAGUUUCUUUCAUUAAUGUCUUAUAGAUACAAUUUUUGGGUCUUCAGUUUCUUUCAUUAAUGUCUUAUAGAUACAAUUUUUAGUGUGUAGAUCUUUCACCUUAUUUUAUAGGUUUUUUAUCUGAUGAUGAUUAGUGAUGUUGAGGACAUCACUAAUUUAUUUAUAGGUAUUUUAUUUUUGAUGCAAUUAUACAUGAGAUUGUUUUCUUAAUUUCUCUUUCUGAUAGUAACUUAUUAGUGUAUAGAAAGGCAACUGAUUAUUGUAUAUGAUUUUUGUAUCUGGCAACUUCACUGAAUUUGUUGAUUAAUUCUAACAAAAUUUUUUGUUGGAGUGUUUCAUGUCACCUACAAACAUAGACAGUUUUACUUUUUCCUUUCUGAUUUAGAUGUCUUUUAUUUCUUUUUCUUGCCUAAUUGUUCUGGCUAGGACUUCCAGUACUAUGUUGAAUAAAAGUGGCAAGAAUGGACAUCCUUGUCUUAUUCCUGAUCUUAGGUUUUCCACUGAGUAUGAUGUUAGCUGUGGGCUUGUCAUAUACAGCCCCUGUUAUGUUGAGGUAUGUUUUCUCUAUACCUCACUUCGUUUAGAGUUUUUGUCAUGAAUUGAUGUUGAAUUUUAUCAAAUGCUUUUUCUGCAUCUAUUGAGAUGACUUAUUAUCCUUUAUUAUGUUAAUAUGGUAUAUCACACUUAUUGAUUCCCAGAUGUUGAAUUAUUCUUGCAUCCCUGGAAUAAAUCCCACUUGAUCAUGGUGUAUGAUCCUUUUAAUGUGGUGUUGAAUUCAGUUUGCUUAUAUUUGUUGAGAAUAUUUGCAUCUGUGUUGAUCAAGAAAGUUGAGCUAUAAUUUUUUUUUUCCUUGUAGUGUCAUUGUCUGUCUUUAGUAUCAGGGUAAUGCUGGCCUCAUGAGCUUGGAAAAAUGUUCCUUCCUCUUAUAUGGUUUGGAAGAGUUUGAGAACAACUGGUAUUAAUUCUUUAAAUGUUUGGUAGAAUUUAUCAGUAAAGUAAUCUAGCUUUUUUUUGUUUGUUUUGUGAGGAUUUUGAUUACCAGUUCAAUCUUUUUACUAUAGAAUUGGUCUGUUAAUAUUUUCUACUCGUUCAUGAUUCAGGCUUGGUAGGUUGUUCUAGGAAUUUAUCCAUUUUUUCCAAGUGUCCAAUUUGUUGGUGUAUAAUUAUUUAUAGUAGUCUUUUAUGUUCCUUUGUAUUUAAGUGGUAUCAGUGUCACCUCUUUCAUUUGUAAUUUUAUUUGAGUCCUCUCUUUUCUUUAAGCUAAAGGUUUGUUUUGCUUAUCUUUUCAAAAAAACUAGCUCUUAGUUUCAUUGAUCUUUUCUGUUGUCUUUUUAGUCUCUAUUUGAUUUAAUUUCACUAUGAUCUUUGUUACUUCUUUCCUUCUGCUAACUUUGGGCUUAGUUUGUUACUUUUCUAGUUCCUUGAGGUGUAAAGUUAGGUUGUUUAUUUGAGAUCUUUUUCUUCAUGUACGUGUUUACUGCUAUGAACUUUGCUCUCGGAACUUAUGCAUCCUGUAAGUUUUGGUAUAUGUAUUUUUCAUUUGUCUCAAGGUAUUUUUUUAUUCUCUUUUGAUCUCACCUUGACUAGUUGUACAAUUCAUGUUAUUUAAUGUCCACAUAGUUGUGAAUUUUCCAGGGUUUUUUUUUUUUUUGUAAUUGAUUUCUAGUUUCAUACCAUUGUCAUAGGAAAAGAUGUUUUAUAUGAUUUCAGUCUUCUUAAAUUUAUUAAGAUUUGUUUUGUGGCCUAACGUGAUCUGUCCUGGAGGAUGUUCCAUGUUUGCUUGAGAAGAAUAUGUAUUCUGCUGCUUUUGGAUGGAAUGUUACCGUAAAUGUUAAGUGUCUGGUCUAAUGUAUAGUUUAACUCCAGUGUUCCUUUUUUGAUUUUCUGUCUGGGUGAUCUAGACAUUGUUGAAAGUGCAGUACUAAAAUCCCUUUAUUAUUGUGUAGUUGUCUAUUUCUUCUUUCAAGUCCGUUAAUAUUGGCUUUAUAUACUUUAUAUAUUUAGGUGCCCCUAUGUUGGGUGCAUAAAUAUUUGCAAAGAUUAUAUCCUCUUGUUGGAUUGACUCCUUUAUCACUAUAUAAUGACCUUCUUUGUCUCUUAUUACAGUCUUUGGCUUAAAGUCUAUUUUGUCUGGGGGUGCCUGGGUGGCUCAGUCGGUUAAGCGGCUGCCUUCAGCUCAGGUCAUGAUCCCGGGGUCCUGGGAUUGAGCCCCGCAUCAGGCUCCCUGCUCAGUGGAGAGUCUGCUUCUCCCUCUCCCUCUGCCUGCCUCUCUGCCUACUUGUGCUGUUUGUCAAAUAAAUAAAUAAAAUCUUUAAAAAAAAAAAGUCUAUUUUGUCUGAUCUAAGUUAGUUUAUGUACUUUUCAUUAUAAUAUGCUAUAUUCUUUGUUCUCUUAACAGUAUCAUUUGGAGAGCCAAAAUUUCUAAUUUUAAUGAAAUACAAUUAAUUUUUUUCUUUAUGGAUAGUGCUUUUGUUUCAUAUCUAAAAAAUAUUUGCCUGAAUGAAGAUAAGAAAGAUUUUGUCCCCUGUUUUCUCCUGGAAGUUUCAUAAUUUCAGCUUUUAUCUUUAUAAUCCAUAUGUUAGUUCUGUGGGACUACCACAGCUGCAUGGCUUAAGCAAUAGAAAUUUUUCUGACAGUUUUUGAGGCUAGCUGUCUGUAACUGAGAUAUCAGUAGAGUUUGUUCCUUCUGUGAGGGCUGUGAGUGAGAAUCUGUUUCAUGCCUCUCUCCCAGCUUCUAAUGGCCUCAGGCAUUCCUUAGCUUAUAGAUGGUAUUCUUCCUAUGUUUUCAUAUUGACUUCUCUCUAUAAAUGUCUGUCUGUGUUGACAAAUUUCCUCUUUUUAUAAGGUCACAGUCCUAUUGGGUUAGGGCCCUCCUUAAUGACUUCAUUCUAACUGGAUCAUCUAUCUACAGAAACCCUAUUUCCGAAGGUCACAUUCACAGGUUCUGGGGGUUAGGAUUUUAACAUCUUUUGGAGGAACACAACUCAACUCGUAACAAUCCAUUUCAAAAAUAUUUUGGGGGGUGCCGGGGUGGCUCAGUGGUUAAGCGUCUGCCUUCGGCUCAGGUCAUGAUGGGAUCAAGCCCCACAUUGGGCUCCCUGCUCCAUGGGAAGCCUGCUUCUCCCUCUCCCACUCCCCCUGCUUGUGUUCCCUCUCUCGCUGUGUCUCUCUCUCUGUCAAAUAAAUAAAUAAAAUCUUAAAAAAAAAACAAAACCGUAAACCGCUUCCAACCCAUUCAUCUGAAUUUAUUUAAAAAAAUAAUAAUUUUUGUAUAUGGUGUGAGAUAAAGGUUGAACUUCAUUUCUUUGCAUUGGACAUCAAAUUUUUUCAGGAUCAUUUGUUGAAAAGACUAUUCUUCCCUCACUGAAUUACUUUAGGACCUUUAUUGUAAAUCAGUUAACCAUACAUUUUGAUCUAUUUCUGAACAUUGUUUUGCUUUAUUGGCCUAUAUCUGUGUACCCCUAAACUGAUUUCACAUUGUCUUGAAUUCUUUAAUUUUAUAAAGACAUGAGGUCAGGUGCAUUAAGUCCUCCAACUUUGUUCUUUUUUCCAAAAUUGUUUUGACCAGUCUGUGUCCUUUGCAUUUCCAUUAAAAUCAACUUGACAAUUUCUACAAAAAGAAAACCCUAUAGAAAUUGUGUACAUCAUUUUGCUGAUGGUUUUGGUGCUAUUAUAAAUGGGGUUUUGGUGCUAUUAUAAAUGGGACUUUAAAAAAAAUCUCAGUCUGAUUUUUCAUUUUAUUAUAUAGAAAUAUUGUGAUUUUUGUACAUUGACAUUGUGUCCUGCAACCUUGCUAAACUCAUUUAUUACUUCUAGUAACUUUAAAAAAUUCUUUAAGAUUCUCUAUAUAGAUGAUCUUGUCUUUUGUAAAUAAAGAUAGUUUUAUGUUUUGCCUUCCAAAAUUUCAUUUCAUUUUCUUGUUUUGUACUGGAGGCUAAACCUCCAGGACUAUAUUGCAUAGAAGUGGUAAGAGUGGACAUCUGUGCCUUGUUACCACUCUUAAAAGGAACAGCAUUUGGUCUUCCACCAUUAAGUUGCUUGUAAAUUUUUUUAGAUGUUCUUCAUCAAGUUAAGGCAAUUCCUGUCUAUUCCUAGUUGGCUUAGACUUUUUAUCUUGAAUGACUGUAAAUUUGUUAAAUACUUUUUCUGUAUCUGUGUAUUUUUAUCCUUUAGUCUGUUAAUAUUGAUGAGGUAUGUUGGCUUACCUUUGAAUGUUAAGCCAACCUUGCAUUCCUGCAACAAACCCUCCUGGUCAUCAUAUAUUAUCAUUUUUAUACUUUCCUAUAUUUUCUUAAUAUUUUUCUGUCUAAGAUAAUGUAUUGGCCUGUAACUUUUUUUUCUUCUAUUAUCUCUGUGUGGUUUUGGUAUCAGGGUAAAGUUGGCUUCACAAAAUGAGUUUGGAUGUAUUUCCCUCCUGUUUCCUGAAUAAAUGUGUACAAAACUGUAAUUAUUUCUUCCUGACAUAUUUGGUAGAAUUCACCAAUGAAGCCAUCUGUGCCUAGAAUUUUUUUUUAUGAGAAGGUUUUUAACUCAAUUUCUAUUUCUUUAAUGGGCAUAGAACUAUUCAGAUUAUCUAUUUCUUUUGUGAGUGCACUUUGAUAAUUUGUGUCUUUAAAGGAAGAUUUUCAUUUCAUCUGAGUUGGCAAAUCCAUUGGUGAAAGUUGUGUUUUAUGUUCAUUACCCUUUAAAGUGAUUUCUCUAUUAUUGUCUGUUUUCAAUUUUUUAAUUUUCUUUUUUCUACCUUCUUUGAGUUUAACUUUAUUUUUUCAGUUUCUUAAGGUGGAAGCUUGGGUCAUUGAUUUGAAUCUUGUCUUUUUUAUAUGUGUCUAGUGCUAUAAGUUUCCCUCUAAUCACUACUUUAAUUGCAUGCCACAAACUUUGAUAUGUUGUAUUUUCAUUUACAUUUUGUUUAAAUUAAUUCCUAAUUUCUCUUGUGAUUUCAUCUGCGAUCCAUGGAUUGUUUAAUUUGGAAGCAUUUGAAAAAUUUUCAGAUGUUUUUAUGUUAUAAUGAUUUCUAGUUUUAAUUUUGGCCCAAGAAUAUACUUUAAUUUCAAUGUGUAUAAUUUGAAGGGUUUUAUUUUUAAUAGUGUAGGAUUCUAUCUUACACUACAUUCUGAAUGUUACAUAUGCAAUUCUUUUAAAUGUAUAUUCUCCUCUUGUUGAGUGAAGUUUUCUAUGAAGGUCAGGAAGAGUUGGUUGAUAGUGUUUUCUUUCUGGAUUUCUUUUUACUCAUUUACCAUUUAUUGAGAAAGGAGUAUUGAAAUCUGAAUAUAAUUUUAGAUUUGUCUAUUAGUUCUCUCAGUUUUAAUUAAUAGAGCUUAAAAACAUGAAGCAAAAAUUAUUUGCAGGCACAUUUAGGAUUUUUACAACCUUUGAUAUAUUGAUUUCUUUUUCAGUGUAAGUUUUUUUCCUUAUCUCUGGUAAUGUACCUUGUUCUGAAGUCACAUUUAUGUGGUAUUGAUAUAACCAGUCUUAUUUUUUUCCCCAAAAGAUUAGUGUUUGCAUUGUGGUAUAUUUUUAUAUGUUUUUGCUUAUAUACUUUCUGUCUUCAUAUGUGAAGUGGGGUUUUUUGUAGAUUACAUAUGCUUGGGUUAUGCUUUUUAAAUUCAGUCUGACAACUUCUGUUUUUUAAGUGCUUAAACCAUUUAUAUUUAAUACAGUGUUUAAUAUAGAUGCAUUUAAAUGUAUUGUUUUUUGUUUGUCUCUUCUGGUCUUGGGUCAUUUUCUCUUCUUUUGAAUUGAGUAUAUUCUGUAAGUCCAUUUUAUCUCCAUUGUUGAUUUAUUCUCUUUUAAAAAAUUUUUUCAGCAAUUUCUCUAGUGCCAGGGUCAGUAGACUACAUCUAUGGGCCAAAUCUCACCCACCAUCUCUUUUUGUGAAUAGAGUUUUAUUGGGACAUAGCAUGCUCAUUCAGUAAUAUCUUGCCUGUGACUGCUUUUAUGCUACAACAGCAGAGUUAAGUAGCUGUGACAGGGACCAUAUGGUACACCAAGCCUAAAAUACUAGUAUCUGGUCUUUUAUAAAAAAUUUUUCAUCCUUUAGUUUAUAUAAUAUACAUCUUUAUUUCAUCAGAGAUGUCUUCAAACAGUAUCAUACUAUUCUAAGUAUGAUGUAAUGUAUACCUUAGAAUAGUAUAUUUCUAUUUUCUUUUGUCACUUGUACUAUUGUACAUUUUAUUUCUGUAAACAGUUGAUUCUCAUAAUUUGUGAUAGUUAUAUUCUGUAAAGUGACCUCAAACAUUAGUGAAUUAGUGAAUAUUGAAGAGUUGCUCCUAGGGGAAAUACAGGGUUGGGUUCCUGUGAGCAUCUGGUCACAACAUUUUUGUCAACCAGUAAAUACAUAACGUUUUUUUUUUUCUUUUUUUAAAGAUUUUAUUUAUUUAUUUGAGAGAGCAUGAGUGGGGAGGGUCAGAGGGAGAAGCAGACUCCCCGCUGAGCAGGGAGCCCGAUGCGGGACUCGAUCCCGGGACUCCAGGAUCAUGACCUGAGCCGAAGGCAGUCGCUCAACCAACUGAGCCACCCAAGCGCCCUACAUAAUGUUGUUUUAUAUGUGUUUCUGUUUAAAGAUGCCUUAUUUAGUAUAUACAGGUGAUUCAUUAACAUUGAUCUCACAGCCAACAGCACUGUAACUUAUGCCUGAAUGAAGCUUCUCUAACACACAUAUUCUCUCCAUAAGGCAUAUUAUAGACUACUUGAUCUUAGGAACACUUGACAGCACUUCAGUAUGAUGCUUGGGGGGUCAUUUUAAACAGAAAAAUCACCAUCAAAAAAGCCCCCAAAUUCAGAACACAUGACAAUAAAUAGACCGUGAAAAGGACAUGUGUUUUUACACUGUGAGAAUUUAAACAAGAGCAUCACCUUGUUUGACUUCAGAUGGGAACAUGCACAAGAGUGACUCAAAUUUUUUGUCUUCUUUGCAUGUCUGUGAAUGACUGUAAAAGCACAGAAAGUAUUGAUUUUUGGUUACAAAUAAAUUUUGGGGAGUAGGCAUGUUCACAGAUCUAGAAUCUGUGAAUGAUGAGGAUCAGCUGUUGCUACAAAUCCCACAACACAUUGUUUUUCUUCUUGCUUUUAACAGUAAAUUAUGUUUUAAAGAAAUUAAAAGUGAGAAAAAUUACCUUUUAUAUUUACUUCCAUAUUUAACAUUUUCAUUACUUUUCAUUACUUUGUGUUGGAUCCAAACUGUAUGCAAUAUGUUCUUUUCUCUGGCUUCAUUUACAAUUUUUGUCUUCUUGGUUUUCAGCAGUUUAAAUAUGAUUGCUUUAUUGUGGUUUUUUUUUUCUGUUUUUGUUGCUGGGGUUUGUUGAACUUGGUCUUGAGGUUAUAGUUUCCUCAACUUGGGAGACUUUUUGUAUUCAUUAAAGCUUCCUUUAGUCUUUUCCUGUGUGCCAUUUUUACUGCCCUUACAAAAUUUUCCUGCACAUGUUUGUUUGCUUUCCUCCUCGUCUUUCUAUCUAAUAUUUAGGCUUUCACUUGAAAUAUAUAAUGUAAUGGAAAGCUGUAUUUGAAUUGCCCCCAGGUUGUGCCAUGACCACAUCUGAGUGAAUGCAUUAUUGUAAAAUAUUUUUCAGUCCCAGCCUACUGUUGGAAAUAGGUUGAAGGAGUGUGGACCAAGCUCCUUAUUAAAGUUUUCCAUGAUUCAGUAAUUUUUGAUAAGAUAGUAAAUUGAUUACAAUCAAAUGAACAAUCUCUAAUAUAUAUACUUUGACAAAUACACUUCAGUGUUUGUGUCUAUUUGUUUUCCUUAUAAAAUCUUAUCCAACUACUUUUAAACACCCCACAAAAUUUUUUGGUAACUAUGUCAGUGGCAUUUCCUAAAGACCAGCUUUUUUUUUUUUUAAUUAGGAGCAGAAUCUUCAAAUUUUGGUUUGUCAUAUUUAUGCAAAAGUAGCUCAAUUUUCAAAAAUCUUUAUCAUAGGCCACAGGUUGUGAAGGAUCAGGAUUUUUAAACGUUUACAGAUUCCACGUAUGUGGUUUCAUGGUUACAUGCAACUUAGUUUGUAACAAUGAUUUUCAACCCUGGCUGUCCCUUAGAACAAUCAGGAAGCUUAACAGACCUUUCCCCAGACCAGUUAAGUCAGGCUUUCUGGGAGUAGAGAGUCUGUUUAAGAGCUCUACCUAUGGUUCUAAGGAGUAGCCAGAAUUGAGAACCUAAAUGUAAUGGAAAUCAAUAAGCUUAAGAGACCACAUAAGUAAUAAACUGAAGAUAUUUUUUCCAAAUAUUUAAAUUGCAUAUUUUGUUGUAUGAGCUUGCCAUCGUAUAAAAUAUAAUUAUAUGUAUAUUUUAAAUCUUGUAUACAAAUACAUAAAUUCAGUGAGGUCUGCAUCUGAUUAUAGGUUACUAUGAUAGUUGAAAAUUUUAGAAAAAUAAGAGCUAGUGAUUUCAUUUCUUUUACUUGGCAGUUUGCAGAGAGCUAAAUAGUGUGGUACAAUGAGCCUUUACCAGGGGCCAUUAUCUGUAUGGCUUCAUGCAAUUGAACAAAUAUUUGUGGUGCACUUAUUCUAUUCAGUCACCAGGCUAGAUACUGUAGAGUUACCAAGAUGAAAGAUAAAUUUUCUGCCCCAAUGAUUUAUGCUCUGGCAAAAGAAGAUGAGUGAAUGUAAAAUUACCGUAAUAUAAGGUAGAUCAUGGUAAGACCAGAAAUAAAGGUACAAAAUGGUAAAUGACUAAAGGAAUAACUACCAUCUCAUUCAGGAGGUAAUGAAAGCUUGCUUUAAACCCAACUUUUUGCUUUUAUUGUCACCAACUAUGGCCCUUCACCUGGGGAAAUAAACCUUAGUGGCUAGUAAAGUGCCCUGCUACUACUUUGAUAGCUUGUAGCAUGGAUAAAGCAAGAUGCCUUUAACAUCCUCAAUAAUCAGAAACCUGUGUAUUUAUGCACAUAUGGACAUUUCCCCCCAUGGGUAAGUGAAUAAAGCUGUAUGAUUCUGCUUCCUAGUAGUGUUCUAAAUUUUAUGUGAGCUAGAAAUUUGUGGGGAUUUCUGUUCUGUUCAUGGUAAUUUCAUUUACCAUCUCCACCAUCAUUUUUCUUCCAGUACAUUAAACCAUAGUUGCCUUUUAUGGAGAUUGUGAGAAUAGUAAAACAUAACAUUUUAUAUAUAUCCAUUUAAUUACCAUGUGCUAUGCUCUUCAUUCCUGGACAACUUGUGUUUAAACUUUCAUUAUAUUGAUUGUUCUUUUACUUGAGUAUAGCCACCCUAAAACUGUAAGCUCUGUGAGGUCAGACAUGUCCACAGUAGGUGUUCAACAAAUAUUUUUUGGUUGAAUAAAUUCUAAAAAUUCAUAUGAAACAGUAUAGUAUGGUUAUUAAAAACAUUUGGGGUCAAAUCUGGGCUUAUCUCUACCACUUACUAGUUGUGUAACCUUGGUUUCUUAUCUAAAAAAUGAGGUUAAAAUAGUGCUCAUUUCAUGGUUGUGUGUGUAUAUGUAUAUUAUUUGUGUGUGUGUGUGUGUGUGUGUAUAGGAAAUUUGUUUUGCUUAGCCCAGUACCUAGCAUAUAGCAGUCUCACAGUAUUAGUUUCUUAAUAAUAAUAUUAAUCUGACCUUAGUGGUUUCUAAACUGAAAAAACAAAACUUAAGUCGCACAUACUUUGGGAACCUUUUUCUGUUGGGAGUUUAUUGGAAAUUAGUGGUGAUCCAGAAGUGAGUGAAAGCUACUACCAGUUAAGCUUAUGUUUCGCUUUUGUGCUUUAUAGAAUAUACACGUGUCAUAAUCUAUUUUCUGCUGUGUAGAAGACAACCCAGUUGUUCCUUAAUCUGUAUAGGUAAAUUAUUCACGUUUUCUAUUAGCUUCUACAAAUGUUCUUUUUAUUGGUGCAGAAAAUUGGAGGUUAAUGGUAUAUCAGUUCUGUGGCUUAUCUAAUUGUUCUUGGGCCGUAUGUGUCUAUUUCAUGUGCAUUCUUUAGCUCCUGAAAACCUGUGAUUUUUGUCUUGGUAUAUUAUUUUAUAAUAUAAUAGUAUAUUAUAUUCCUCAGGGGAUGAGGUAGUUAUAUGAGUCUUUAGAUUAAUGGUGAUUACAGAUGUAACUUCAGAAUCACAAUUUUGAGCUCAGCUGAUUUAAUUAGUUACUAUUAUUGAGCAGUGAGUAAGCAUGCUUUUCUGUAUUCCUGCACUGUAUGCACAUUCCCAAGGACUAAAUGGCCAGAAGGAGCCUAUAGAGCAACUACAAAGGCCUAGGGAUAGUUAACUGAAACUAUAUAAGAUCUUUUGAUAGCAAAAGAAGGACAUGAAAACUAAUCAAGAGUACAUUAAUAUUUCCAUUAGGAAAAGAAUGAGUAAAGUAUUUUUUGAUAACUGUCUUAAGAAAUGGAUGAAUCAGAUAUAAAUAAAAUUUUAAAUUUUUAUGAAGUAUUUAAAAGACUUUGUGAAAUGUAUUAUCAUAUUCUGAAAAAAAAAAGACUAACAGUGUAUAAUUUUUACUUCCCAAAUUAAAUUAUGUUUUCCAUUCAAGGUUUUAUUGGGAUUCUUUUUACCCUAACAAUAUUUUUCUAAAGUUUAAAAAAGUAGCCAAAAGCAUUAAGUUAAAAGUCUGAAAAAUAAGAAAAAGGGGGGAGAAAAACAGCUACAAUAAUGGAAACUGUAUAUGACUUGAACAGUAAUAGAUCAUUCGUACAUUUUAGGUAUAUGGCUAAGGAGGCAUGAGAAAUAAAAGAGAAUCAUUUUUCGGAAAUGGAGUUUAGAAAACAAGUUAGGCAAUGAGAGGAGCAUUAACAAAGACCUCCACUUAAUAUCUGACACCAGGAUAAAUUUCAGAGGAAUUAAAGUAAAGGUUAAAUAUUGAGAAUUUGGAUCAAAGGAAAAAGAGAAUAAAUGGAAUUGAAUAUUUAUCAAACUUACAGAGAGGGGGAUAUCUCACUUUGAUAUCAGGAAAAGGAAGCACAAGGGUAAAGAACAGUUUACAGAUUUGAGUAUUGAAAAUUAAAAUAUUUACAUAUAUAAAAAUAAAAACAAAGAUAAGAUUGGGGAAAUACUACACAGGUAUUAAAUAUCUAACAUCUUUAUUCUGUAAAGAGCUCAUGUAUUGGUAAGAAAAACAUUGAUCUCUAAAUAUUUAGUCAAAUGAUAUAAAAAUACAUUUCACGAAAAAAUUAGUAAACAGGCAUGUGGGGAAAUGUUGAAAAUAGUAGUAAUAAAUACAGAUUAGGCAUGGUGUUCAAUUAGGGGGAAAAUGAAAUUGGUAUUUCCAGUAAUGAGGAUAUAUAAAACUUCAUAGAAAUAGAAAGAUUUCAGGCUUAUAUUUAGUUAAAAUUGGGAUUGAAUUCUAAUACAGAUAAUACAAAACAUAUACAUUGAGAUUUUUGUUUGUUUGUUUCCAGGAAAAUAUCUAACAGAUCAUUUGUAGUUGAGCUUUGCUUAAAACUUGGAUAUGACCAAAAGUGGUCACUCUUUGAAUUCAGUCCAAUUUCAUGACACGUCCCGAGGGCGGAUUGGGUGGAGUUUCUUUUGUUGUUGUUGUCUUUAACUUAAGCCAAAAAUUUAGCUUCCUUUUCUUGAAGAUUUGAAAUGCUUCAACAUUUAUGUUACACUGAAAUUGGUUCUGUCUUACUCAUCUUUCUGUCCCCCCAAAUGCCUUAGUUUCAGUAGACAUUUGUUAAAGGAUAUGUUCUACCUGCUUUUACUGCUGAAAAUAAUACUGCAAAUAAUCUGUGGUGAUAGUUAACCUCUGUUGAUUAAAUGAUUUAUAGAAAGAAAUAAGCAGAUAAGCACCAGUAUUCUUUUCCAUUCUGUUUCAUGUAUUGGUACCUUAGUUGUACCAAACCUGCUCCGACUAGUUUAUAUUUUUCAGAUAUUUAAUUCAAAGAACUCUUUCUUCCUAGGAUUGUGCAAAAGGCCAGCUUCUUGAAAUACUUGAAAUUCUCAAAGUUAUUCACUCUGAGAACACCAGUAAACUUUUUCCUUAUUCCUUGUAAGAAUGUAGAUUAGCACUACUUAAUUGGCAAAUAUUAUAGCUCCAAUAUCUCAUUUUAAUGUAUAAGAUUAAAUUAAACCAGUGGUUCUCAACCAGAGUGAUUUUGAUCCCUGGCAACAUUUAGCAGUAUCUGGAGUUUUUUUGUUUGGUUGUCACUACUGGGGAGAGAGGGCGUGCUAUUGGCAUCUAGUGGGUAGAGAGCAGGGAUGUUACUGCAAUGCUCGGGGGAGCUCCCCACAACAAAGAAUUAUCUGGCCCAAAAUGCCAGUUGUGAAUCUUCUAGAUGUAAAAGGGAGUUUAUAUGCUGAAGAGAACGCUUAAACUGAUGAAACUCAAAGAACUAGUGAGACUGGCUAUCAGGAGAACUGAGAAGGCAGACAGAUCUGAGCAGCAGGUAGAAUUGAGAUUGAGCCAAACGGAAACAAGAUCUCUGCUGGGAGGCCACCGCCAAAGAAUCAAAUUACAGUGAGCAAAUCAAAACCCAGGGAACAGGCCAAAAGCUUUGCCCAAUCUUAGAGUGAGUGAUUGUGCAUGGAUUCCCAAUGUCAAAAUUACAUUAGUGUUUAAACCUGUACUAUUAUUUUUUGUUAUUGGCGUAUGUUUAAAAAAAAAAAAAAAGAGUCCAAGAAAGAGAUAGCAGUGUUCUAAAGCCAAAGAGACAGACUCAGGGUGGAGAUUUUGAUUCUUAAACUUUGUUUUGAAAUUAGAGACCCUUUUCAGGUCACUUACUUCAGAUCUUCAUCUGGAAAGCUGGGAUCAUGAUUCCUACCUUCAUUAAAAAAUUAUGGUGAUAAAAUGUAAAGCUCUUAAUGCAGUGUCUGCCACAUAAUUAGUGCCCUCAAAAUAGUAAUAUUCAUAGUUUUAAAAUCUCUCUUAUCUGGAAAGAUCAUUGAUCCUAUAGUGUUCUUAAAAUUUUAGUAAAUACCAAAAUAUGUAUAGAAUUUUUUCUGUACAGUGACAUUGCUUUACUCGUGUCUUGAUUUUAGUAUUUAGCAUAUGAGAAACUAUAAAAAAUUGAGAUCAAGUGUUUAUUAGAGGACUGGGAUUAUUUGUUUUAGGAGUUUUGAGAAAAUAAAUGAGAUAGCAAUGCCAAGUGCUUUACAUGGUGCCUGGUGCAUAGUAACUAUUCUCAGGGAAUGUUAGUUCCUCGUGUUCUUGAUUUCAAAUUGCCAAGAAGCUUAGAAAAUAGCACUAUGAUGCUACUGCUGUAUUGUGUUAAUUUGUUGAAUGAACAUAGUAAAUGUAAUUGGAGUAAUAAGAAAGGAAAUUGGCCAACAGCAAUUCAUUUUAAGCUGUAAUGGUAUUUACUGAAAUUGAACCUAACUAAAGCAAAACUCUCUGCUUUCAGCUGAUUUAAAACAUUUGUUUUUCGUUUUGACCAUUUACAUGACACUAGACAUGAAAAAUCUUUGUCUGUGUAUCCUAGUUAGGAGUGAUUUUGAUGUACUCGUCAAGUGAAUACAUUGUUUCUGCAGACUUGGAUUGGGUAUAAUUUUCAGGUCCUGCUGAAGUAGAGCAAAAACCCCAGCUGUGUCUUUUGUUUUCUGGAAACCAGUUGUCAUUCUGUGUUCGUUUUUUUUUUUUUUCUCCCCUAUUUCUACUACAGCUGUGUUGCAGUGGCUAGGUGACAUCUUACUCUUUACCUACAUUUUUUGUCUUGGCAAAAUAAUGCCAGGCAACCAUUACUAAUCUGGAGGCUCAAACCGGAAGAAAAUUGUUUUUUGUUUUUUGGUUUUUGGUUUUUGGUUUUUUUUCCCAAUUCUGCUAGAUAUUCAGGUAAAUGUGUUGGCUAGGAUAGAAAGUUCCAGAAAGUUUGAAUUAAAGAUAAACAGAACUAAUAGCAAAACAAGUAAAAAGGAAAUGAAAAAAGAUUACUCUGGUUUGUGUCAAAGAGAAAUGGUGUUAAAUGAGGCAGCUCCUCUAAUGUAUCAUAUCCAGAAAAUCCUAGGUUGAAGAUUAAUGAUGAAAGUUCAGAAUAAAUUCAGAGUCCCCACUGAAUAAUUUUCUCAUUGACUCAUCUAGACUGUAGUGCCAUCUAUCUGUAUAUAGAAAUGGUCAUUGAAAUUCUUCUCUUCAACUACAUACUUUCCUGAAAAAUUAUGUUAAAUAGGAUAUUUGUUUCUGGGAAUUUUAUUAGUGUUAAAUUAGUUACCUUUGCUCUCUAGUCAACAGCUUUUUUCAGUAAAUUAAAUACUAAGUUCUAGGUACUGUACAUUCAGUAGGGAGUAGGAAAAGAGAAUGCCCUUCCCCUUGUGGAGCUUAUUUACUAUGAUCUGGUUUAUUAUUAGACUUACUAUGAUUUACUUGACAUCAAAUUUAAAAUUACUUUAGUAUUCAGCUUCUCAAAUUAAGUGAAUGUAAAGAAACCUGUGGUGCUGAGAAUGUUCUGUAUCUUGAUCUGGGAGGUAGUUACAUGGGUGUGUAUGCAUGUGCAUGUAUGUGGUGAUCUAUUCUAAUUCAGAUUAUUGCAUUUUACUCAUAUUUCAGUGUAAACUUUAAAAAAAAUUAGAUGUGCAUUGAAACUCUGCAGUGGUUCCCAUUGCACCUAGAAAAAACCAUA